rnacentral:rRNA from 1 species
UCUUCCGCAAUGGACGAAAGUCUGACGGAGCAACGCCGCGUGAGUGAAGAAGGUUUUCGGAUCGUAAAACUCUGUUGUGAGGGAAGAACAAGUACCAACUAACUACUGGUACCUUGACGGUACCUCACCAGAAAGCCACGGCUAACUACGUGCCAGCAGCCGCGGUAAUACGUAGGUGGCAAGCGUUGUCCGGAAUUAUUGGGCGUAAAGAGCGCGCAGGUGGUUGAUUAAGUCUGAUGUGAAAGCCCACGGCUUAACCGUGGAGGGUCAUUGGAAACUGGUCAACUUGAGUGCAGAAGAGGGAGGUGGAAUUCCAUGUGUAGCGGUGAAAUGCGUAGAGAUAUGGAGGAACACCAGUGGCGAAGGCGGCUUCCUGGUCUGUAACUGACACUGAGGCGCGAAAGCGUGGGGAGCAAACAGGAUUAGAUACCCUGGUAGUCCACGCCGUAAACGAUGAGUGCUAAGUGUUGGGGGUCGAACCUCGGUGCUGAAGUUAACGCAUUAAGCACUCCGCCUGGGGAGUACGGUCGCAAGACUGAAACUCAAAGGAAUUGACGGAAUC